AAAAGUUCUCCAUCAAACCCACUUUUUGCUGUUUGGUAGAGUGCAUGGGCUCUUGUGGGCUAUGCUCAACCGAUGCAAAAAGGGCCCUCAGCUAUGCUCGCUCGAGCACCCCCAGCCAGGCGAGCCGGGGUCAGCUAGGCUGCGUUAGACCCACGGCCCCCUCGAACGACCACCCCUCCCGAACCCCACCUCUCCCUCGUGACUCCAUUUUUGACCUAGCCGCCCCUCUUCAACCUCGUCGCCGCCGCCGUGGGAGCUGCCACGCCUGAGCUCCGUCCAGUUCGUCCACCCCCGUGGCGACGGCGACUGGCGGCGCGCGAGUCCUCGCGGGGCUGCGCUUACGGCGACGCGGGCGUGACGCGGGACCGCAGUAGACGCUGGAGUUUGCCAACGAGCUGCUGCUGUUGGUCAACGGGAGGAGGUCGAUCGCGAUCUGGAGUGCCUGACAGUGCUCCUCGAUCUGACAGUGCUCCCCGAUCUGGAGAUGCUACCGCCGCUGCACCUCACACACUCCCUGUUGAUCCAUUCCUCACUCUGUUUUACUUGUUCCUUCCUCUUGAUUUUGAUUGGAAUUGGUAAUAGUUCUGCUGCAUGAUGCGUUCGUCACGUUCAGGUUCAGUAGGUUCAGUAGUAGUUGCAGCACUACUGAAGCACAAGAAGAAAUCGACUUCUGCAGUGUUAUGCAAUUGUUAUUGUCUAACUGGAAUCCAAUAAAGCUAUGUAAUAUGAAUCUAGUGAUGUUAUAUUGCUGAGAUUAUGUUUAUUGUUCCAAUAUGCUGAGAUAUGAAUCUAGUAAUUGUUUCUUCAUAUUUAUAUAUAGCUGAAAUAAUCUUUCAUCGUCCA